rnacentral:sRNA from 1 species
GCUGUAGCAAUACAGAGUGUCAAACGGGUGAGUAACGCGUGGGUGACCUACCCUCGAGUGGGGGAUAACAAUCCGAAAGGAUUGGUAAUACCGCAUGACAUCCUGUCCUUGGACGGAUGGAGAUCAAAGCCGGGGAUCGCAAGACCUGGCGCUUGAGGAGGGGCCCGCGGCCUAUCAGCUUGUUGGCGGGGUAACGUCCCACCAAGGCGAGGGAAAAUAGCUGGUCUGAGAGGAUGGCCAGCCACAUUGGGAUUGACAUCCUUCCCAGACGAAUACGCGAGGCAUCAGGUCGAGCGUGUGGAUACUCGAGUCCAUCC